rnacentral:rRNA from 1 species
AUGGACGCACGCGCCGGCACCCUGCUCACCCCGUCCUAUAGUAGUCUCAAUGAUGAUGCAUACAUGUCAACGAUGGGUGUUGGCUCCAACAAUUCGCAUUGGUCUCAAACCAAUGACAUGCAUUUUGAAGACCAUGAGUUCGAGGUGGACGAGGAGGGUGAGGGCAUUGUCGACACACCAAAAGGAAGAGCGGACAAUUACACCAACACCGAUGACAUCUUACUAUGCAAUACUUGGUUGCAAGUGUCGAGGGAUCCAUCCGUUGGAGGUGAUCAAAGUAGAGAUGCUUAUUGGAACCGGAUGAAGGAACACUUUGAUACUCGCAACGUGAGUGGAAUUGACCGCUCCAACCGAUCACUUAGGUCCCGGUGGUCGACAAUCAACUCGGAUUGUCAAAGGUGGGCGGCCUGUCAAAAGGCGGUUGACAAGUUGAACCCAAGUGGCACAAAUGAGGACGAUAGAUACAACAUUGCGCAAAACUUGUUCAAAGAAGAGGAGAGGAAAACCAAGAAGGGGAAGAUCAAGAAAGGAAGGGUAUUUACUUUGUCUCAUUGCUAUGAAGUGUUGAAGAAUGAUGAGAAAUGGAAGAAGCGUGAAGAUUUGGAUGAUUUGCAUUUGAGCGACAAACGGAAGCGAGGGUGGCGGCCGAGGAGAGGAGGACCCAAGAUGCCGCGACCGAGGAGAGGAGGGUGGCGGCCGAGGAGAGGAAGGUGGCUUUGGAGGAGAGGAAGGUGA